UACGAAUACAGUGUGUAGCAUCUGCAUUCCAAGAAGGACCUUACUCUAUUCAUUCUGUCCAUCUGCAUUUCUGAUGUGAGGCAUUUUAUUUGUCUCACUCUCUUUUUUCCCCCUUUCUGACAGUGCUUUUGUGAUAUCAGGGAGAUUGCGAUGCACUAGCUACCGCUCUUGUCUCCACACCAUGCUCUUGUGGCUAAGGGAUGAAGAUAUGGGUGGAAGGGAAUCAAGACGCACAUAUCAUAGUUUAUCUGCAAGAGAGACUCCAGUCUCAUUCUUUGUGCUACUGUGGAGCCCAAGGCCAAAUUGCAGAGCUCUAAUCAUAACACGCAAUGAUGAAACACCACCUGGUUCAUGCUUAAUUAUCGUCGUCCUCACGUCCAUCUUAAACAAAUGCUCAUAUUCGGCUCGCCAAGUUGGAGAUAACUAAAAAUUAAGAACUUUCAGCCUUGCUGAUCCAUGGCUUUUGUAGCUACUAAGAAUUAAAAAACUUUCUGCCUUGCUGAUCCAUGGCUUUUGUAGCUGUAGCUGCAGCUGCAGCAGCAGCAGCUUGGGAUUCCAUUUCAAUGGUUGCUGCCGUUUCGUACCAUCUCGUCCCUGUCCGUCCUCUCUCAGGAACUCAGAGUUGCAUCAGCCUGAUGCUAGCCCCAUGUCAGCUGGGAAACACUGCUGACUUGUCUGAAUCUAGCCACACGCAGCUGCGGACGACGGCGAGCCGCCGCUACGUGACAUGCCGGUCGCCCUCCCCGGUGAGGACUAUCCUGACCGCCGUCGUCGUCGUCGUUGCCCUCCUCCUCCUCCGGCUGCACACCACCUGUGAACGAAGAAGGCGGCUUGCACUUGCACAUGCACAAUUUACAGCCCUGGCCUGACCAUGACAGGUUUCUAACCAUCCAAAUCAAUCCUGCUGAGAAAUUUUCUGAUUUUUCCUUUUCUUUUCGUCGUCUUCAGCAGCGACGAGCGAGCCGCCGACGACGAACGUUUCAUGGAGCGUGAUACUGUUUGGAGCACGUAGCGUAAGAGUUUUGUUUUUAUGUGAAGCAUUUUCAUAUGUUAAAUCAUAUGAUUUUUAUAUAGGGAGGUGUUGUGUGCUGGUUUUGUAUCUGAGCGUACGUAGUAUUGGCCUUGUUCUUGGAAGGUUGGUGGUAUGUGCCGUAUUGGAACGGGUUCACUGAGUGAGAGAGAGGGACAAGUUUGUUUUUUUGGUGGAUUUUUGGGAUGUGGUGCCGACUGAUUGGAUAUCAGGAAUAGUUUUUCUCCCCUCUUGCUACAGUCCUGUAAAUAGAUAAUCAGAUUACUUAUACCGACUUAGAGGUGAACCUUCCCCA